CAGUCGCCGCGGUAAUACGUAGGGCGCAAGCGUUGUCCGGAAUUAUUGGGCGUAAAGAGCUCGUAGGCGGUCUGUCGCGUCUGGUGUGAAAUCCCGAGGCUCAACCUCGGGCUUGCAUCGGGUACGGGCAGACUAGAGUGCGGUAGGGGAGACUGGAAUUCCUGGUGUAGCGGUGGAAUGCGCAGAUAUCAGGAGGAACACCGAUGGCGAAGGCAGGUCUCUGGGCCGCAACUGACGCUGAGGAGCGAAAGCAUGGGGAGCGAACAGGAUUAGAUACCCGAGUAGUCCCUGUCUCUUAUAA
rnacentral:rRNA from 1 species